GCUCAGGAGUUGGCCAGAAGCCUGUGGAGAUGGAUUUGCUGUGUAUUCACCUCCUGCCCAAGGAGCUGGGGCUUCUCCAAGCUUGGUUCCUUGUUGGGCAGUUCUGGGGAUCUGGCUGCAAAGGAAGAGAAUUUCUCCUUCCUCUUGUGCCUGGAUGUCACAGCUGCUUUAGAAAUAACAGAGGAAGAUGCUGGUGGUGUCAGAGAGGAAGGAUUUGCUGGGUGUUGAUCAGCAAUGGAGGGCAAGCCAAAAAAGCACAGCAAGAUUUAGAGCCUUUACCAUGGACAACCCCAAGGAGCUGCUAUCAGUCUGUGAGGAUGAUUCAGUGCCCUGCAGCUCCCAGCAGAGCCCUCUCCAGUGCUGCUCCAGGGAGGCUGAAGCUGGCUGGGUACAGCAGCUCCCUGAUUAAUCACAUUUCCUUCCAAUUACAGCUCUGCAUGGCCAAGAUCUGGGAAGCAUUCAGGGAACUAACUGCUCAGCCCCAUGGCAGCUACGUGGGCAGGAAGGACCACACCGUGUUUGAGUUAAAACUGGGCCAAAAGAGGGUCAAAGCUGGUGGUGAGGGUCAGGGAGGGUUUGGUUACCAGGUCAGUGUAACCUGACCAAUGAGCCCAGAGAUAAAGAUGCAGCUUGGUCUGAGCUGUUGGUCUGGGAGGACUCAGCACUGUUUUGGUGAGCUGGGAGGGAGGAAUAACCCUGUGCUGGUUGGAUAAAGCAGGAGGAAUCACAUCUGCUCACACUUGGUGCUGUGCUGGUGUUGUGGUUAAAUCCAUCCUGUGGGGCAGGAGAUGGACAUUGCCUGUCAGGGCUGUGAGUGGCAGGGAAAGCCUUGCAGCAACGGAGCUUUGAAACUCCAUUUCCCCACGGUGCCAGUGAUGGAAGAGCCUCCCGGGCCCCGGAGCAGAGUAGAAACCACCGAGUUUCUCAUUUAUAACCUCAAAUGGCACUGCCUGCACCCUGCUCCACCACGGUAGCGGCUCCUCCCUUUGCUUCCUUCCCCUCUGCCCCAGCUCUGCAUCUCCAAAGCCUGGCCAGGAGGGAUUUGGAGGCAGCCUGGUGUCCCUCCUGCUCUGAGUUUUCUCCUGGCAGUUCACAGAACGUUCCCACAUUGAUCACAGCUUUUCAUCUCUUUGUUCUCACACAACAGGUCUUUCAUCACCACACUGUGUUUUAUUUAUUCCUUUUGGUGGGUGUAUCAAUGGCCAAGUUCCUCCUUUCUUGGUCCUGGCUCAAAAUUAGAUAAAAUGACAUGAAAAAUGAAG